rnacentral:rRNA from 1 species
UUAACAAAAACAUGUCCUUUUGAUUAUAAUUUAAGGUCUGACCUGCCCAAUGAGGAAUUGAAUGGCCGCGGUAUUUUGACCGUGCAAAGGUAGCAUAAUCAUUAGUUUUUUAAUUGAAAGCUGGAAUGAAUGGUUGGAUGAGGAAACAGCUGUCUCAGGUUUAUUUUUUUUUGAAUUUUAUCUUUAAGUUAAAAAGCUUAAAUGAUUUUAAAAGACGAGAAGACCCUAUAGAAUUUUAUAUUCUUAAGCUUGAAUUUUUAUGGAUUUUAAUUAUUUUUAAGUUUUUGUUUAUUUUGUUGGGGUGACAGAAAAAUUUAAUUAACUUUUUUUACAUUGUUACAUUAAUUAAUGAUUUUUUGAUCCGAUUAUUUCGAUUAUAAGAUAAAAUUACCUUAGGGAUAACAGCGUAAUUUUUUUUGAGAGUUCUCAUCGAAAAAAAAGAUUGCGACCUCGAUGUUGGAUUAAAGUUAAAUUUUGGUGUAGCAGCUAAAAGGUUAGGUCUGUUCGACCUUUAAAACUUUACAUGAUCUGAGUU